rnacentral:rRNA from 1 species
AUUGAACGCUGGCGGCAUGCUUUACACAUGCAAGUCGAACGGUAACAGGUUAAGCUGACGAGUGGCAAACGGGUGAGUAAUGCAUCGGAGCGUGCCCGAUCGUGGGGGAUAACGCAGCGAAAGCUGCGCUAAUACCGCAUACGAUCUGAGGAUGAAAGCGGGGGACCGUAAGGCCUCGCGCGAUCGGAGCGGCCGAUGUCAGAUUAGGUAGUUGGUGGGGUAAAGGCUCACCAAGCCAACGAUCUGUAGCUGGUCUGAGAGGACGACCAGCCACACUGGGACUGAGACACGGCCCAGACUCCUACGGGAGGCAGCAGUGGGGAAUUUUGGACAAUGGGCGAAAGCCUGAUUCAGCAAUGCCGCGUGCAGGAAGAAGGCCUUCGGGUUGUAAACUGCUUUUGUACGGAGCGAAAAGGCUCUCUCUAAUACAGGGGGCUCAUGACGGUACCGUAAGAAUAAGCACCGGCUAACUACGUGCCAGCCGCCGCCGUAA